rnacentral:rRNA from 1 species
UACGCUCGAGUUACCAGCACGUAAAGGUGGGGACGUCUCAGUGGACUGCCGGCGACAAGCCGGAGGAGGGUGGGGACGACGUCAAGUCAUCAUGGCCCUCAUGUCCAGGGCGACACACGUGCUACAAUGGCCGGCACAACGGGAAGCGACGGCGCGAGUCGUAGCGGAUCCCUCAAAAGCCGGUCCCAGUUCGGAUUGCAGUCUGCAACUCGACUGCAUGAAGCCGGAAUCGCUAGUAAUCGUGGAUCAGCCAAGCCGCGGCGAAUACGUUCCCGGGCCUU